GGGGUGGUAGCUCAGUCGGGAGAGCAGUUUACAGCGAUUAAGGAUCUGACAACAGAAUCCUGAUCAACAUCAGAGGCCUCGGUUUUGUUUUCAGGUCUCGCUGUAAGCAGGUCGGGGGUUCAAUACCCUCCCACUCCACCA
rnacentral:tRNA from 1 species